ensembl:lncRNA
CCCCCGCCCCGCCGGGACCUGCCGCCCCCCGGCGCCCGCCCUCAGAAGAUGGCGGUUCCCUCCGGAUCCCCCCCGGCUGCGUGAGGGGAGGGGCGGGCGCUCCCAGGGCCGCGUCCCGCCUUGUGAUCUAACAACGGCAACCGGCACGGAGCCGAGGGCGGGAGGGGGAGCGGUGCGGAGCCCAUCUGGUGCGGAAAGCGGCCCCUCGGGCUGCGGGCAGGUAGCGGGGCGCUGCCACUCGCACGUGUCGGCGGCAGAACGGCAUUUCUUCAGCGAGGUUUGCGGUACGGUUUCAAAGGAGCCAAAGGAAAGUCUGAGAAAUGCUGUCACGGUCCCAAGAGAUUUAAAGGAUGAGAUCAUUUCUGUUGGAUGUCCAGCUGUUAAAGAAUCUGCAUCUCUUUUUAAGAAGCUCAAGAGGAAAACACAGCGUCCUUGCCAGAAAAACAAUCAGAUAAUAAGAUUGGAUUUUCUUUAAUUGGGAAGAAAAGAGUCAGACAUGAUGUGAUGUGGGGAUGAAUCAGCACAAACAAGAAUGUCUGUGACCCAGAAUUCUUUAAUGUUGAAAUGACUGCCAUAUUGUGUGUGGAAUUACUUUUAGUUCUUGCACUCGAGUUUUCCAUCUUCACUGCACCAUGUAGCCAAUAUGCUGUAUUUCCACGCUGUGCUAAUUCUGAGGAUUUUAUCACAAGUCCCUUGACAGAUGUUUACCUUCCUAGGGCUUAACUCUCAAACUAAGGAAAAGAGACCAAUCUUGGUUAACAUUUUAUGUGAAGGUCUCCUGAGAUUGGUGACAUCAGAAAUGCUGCACUGAGAUUGAUUUUACCUAGAACAGGCAUCAAAGCCUCAGAAAUGCCCUGCUAAUGGAUGUUAUAGGGCCUAUGAAACCCGGGAGAAGCAGUUGCUGCUGAAGGCCUCCAGAGGGAGAUCCUGCCCCUCGAAAGCCGGGUGCCUGAGCACAGCUCUUUAAUUCCACAUCUCUGAGGGCGUCAUGAAGCCGGAUGGGCAGGGGUUGUGGAGAGCAGAAAACAGCAAAGAUGCUCCUGCCCAAGCAUCCUCAGGGACCAGCAUAAGUGAGGCCAACGGCUGGUUUAUGCCAGGGCAGCACCAGAACCAAAGGGCUCCCUCAGAGACCUGCGAGGGCUGAUCAAGUCCCACUGAAUUCUCAGAGGGCAGUGAGGCCCUGGCACAGCUGCCCAGAGCAGCAGUGGGUGCCCCAUCCCUGGAGACCGGGUUGGGUGGGCCCUGGGCAGCCAGAGGUUGGGUGGGCCCUGGGCAGCCUGAUCUGGCUGGGAACAACCAGCCCAUGGCAGGGCUUGGGCCUGGGUGGGCUGCGAGGUCCCUUCCAGCUCAAACCCUUCUGAGAUCCAUUCUAUGAUUAACAGUAGCUGUACAUUUUUUUAGUAGACAGCACUAAUGUCUCAUGUGGUUGCUCACAGUUGUCAAGGGAAGUCAUGUGUGUCCAUCUGUUUGUCCUUUGGUGCCGGAGAGCUGAAGUAUCUCAUGGGCCUAGCUGAGGGGAUUCCCUAACCUGCACACCCUGAAGGAUACAGCAUGCCAACAGGUCAACUUCUGUUGAAUUUCAG